GACAACUACAAGCAUCAGGAUAUGCUGGAGUCUCUUGGAAAUACAAAAUGAUGAUGUAUCCUGCUUUAUCAAGCUGGUUUAUCUGAUGGGCUCCCUAAGUUUGUGAAGGCUGAAGGAUAUGCUGGAUUGUACAAGGGGAUUGUUCCACUAUGG